UCAGCCGCCGCGGUAAUACGUAGGUGGCGAGCGUUGUCCGGAUUUACUGGGUGUAAAGGGCGAGUAGGCGGGAUGGCAAGUCAGGUGUGAAAUUUAUGGGCUUAACCCAUAAACUGCAUUUGAAACUGCUGUUCUUGAGUGAUGGAGAGGCAGGCGGAAUUCCUAGUGUAGCGGUGAAAUGCGUAGAUAUUAGGAGGAACACCAGUGGCGAAGGCGGCCUGCUGGACAUUAACUGACGCUGAUGCGCGAAAGCGUGGGGAGCAAACAGGAUUAGAUACCCUGGUAGUCCACGCUGUAAACGAUGGAUACUAGGUGUGGGGGGUAUUGACCCCUUCCGUGCCGGAGUUAACACAAUAAGUAUCCCACCUGGGGAGUACGGCCGCAAGGUUGAAACUUAAAGGAAUUGACGGGGGCCCGCACAAGC
rnacentral:rRNA from 1 species